UACGUAGGGGGGCAAGCGUUUGUCCGGAAUCAUUGGGCGUAAAGAGCGUGUAGGCGGUCCGUUAAGUCGGCUGUGAAAGUCCAAGGCUCAACCUUGGGAUGCCGGUCGAUACUGCCGGACUAGAGUUCGGAAGAGGCGAGUGGAAUUCCCGGUGUAGCGGUGGAAUGCGCAGAUAUCAGGAGGAACACCAAUAGCGAAGGCAGCUCGCUGGGACGGUACUGACGCUAAGGCGCGAAAGCGUGGGGAGCGAACAGG
rnacentral:rRNA from 1 species